GUCUUCGUGAUGCAGUGGUCAACACGCUCGGCUCUUAUUCGAGAGGUCGGUGGUUCGAGUCCCAGCGAGGGCA
rfam:Stegodyphus mimosarum contig103318, whole genome shotgun sequence.